GUGCUCGCUUUCGAAGCACAUAUACUAAAAUUGGAAUGAUACAGAGAAGAUUAGCAUGGCCCCUGUGCAAGGAUGACACAAAAAUUUGUGAAGUGUUCCAUACUUUU
ensembl:snRNA U6 U6 spliceosomal RNA